GCCUUCGCUAGGCGACGGCCCACCCAUCAAGCAUUCAGGUUGCUCGAUGGUGGUGUCGCGGGUUCGAACCCCGCCGGAGGCA
rnacentral:tRNA from 1 species